AGUUUACCAUGAACGAAUAAGGGCGCGUCAAUGACAAAAUUCCAUGAAGGUCAUCAAGCGUAGAAGAGAAACAAACCAAACGGCUGAAAUAUCACGUACAAAAAAAGUUUAUAUCCCAAGGCAUCGCUCUGCCCAAGGCUGCGAGCGUAUCCUGUUUCUAAGUUGCUUUUAUCCUUUUUUUGUUCCCCCAGUGUGUUGACCCCGAUCAAAACUCGCUGAAAAAGCAGCUGCAACAACAAAAAAAUAUCGUUUCCCUGGGACUGACUCAUAAAAGAACUUUAUGACAAAGGAAAAUGUUCUCGAAACUUCUGAAACCGGAAAUGGCUUUCUUUUUUCCUCGAAACUUCCCAAAAAAGGAAAUGUUCCGUUCUGAUUGGUCGGCUUUUUACCCUUCCCCAGAUGCUGACUCGGAGACUCGCAUAGACGCGUAGAAAGCGUGACGAACUUGCAUAGGAACAGUGGACUGGGAUGGAGUAUAAAAAGGCCCCCCUGACGAUGCUACAGUACUUCAUUUUCUACAAGCAACCGUCGAGGCGAAAAGUGCUUCUAGAGUCUCCUAUUUUUGGUAAGUUUUAUUUCGACUUAAUUGUAAAUGUUCUACUAUGUUAAGAAAUGCUAUUUGAGUUUGUUUGUUACUUCGUCAAAAAAAUUGACUGAUCAAUUUAUUGGUCAGUCAUUUCAACUCCCAGAUAUUUUGAAGAAUUUGUUGGUAAUUUAUGUUUUUUUUCUUUCAGAAUCGCAACUUGUUCUUCGUGACUGCACAUCGCUGCACAUCGACAGGAAUGGACGGAGACUGUUUCAUAAAUUCUUGCUUUUCUUCGAUGAGCAACUCGACUGCUGAACUCACAAACAUUUCUGGAACAAACGCAGCUUCAAAAAAAUACGCAGAUCCUAAACUGAAUGCGGUAUGUAAAGUUAUGAUAGAGCGCCUUCGCCUUCCCAUCGAUUUCGAAAAAUCAUAUACAUAUCGUUCAACGAAAAAACCGCGCGUUUUUACCAUCUUUUCGGAUUCUGAAGAAGAAAUGGAGUCAAAAAUGGUAAACUUGAAAAAAACCAAGGAAAAAGUGCCAAUUAAAGGUACUAAACGACUCCUUCGGUUGUCUGAUUCUGAAGAUGAAGCAAUAACCCACAAAGACAAAAAGAGGAUCGCUCUAAACGAUUUACGUUUAGAGCCAUCGAAAAUGUCUUCAGAAUUUGUAACGGAGAAGUCGCUAAACACUCCAGAAGGAUUACGUGUCAUACGGCGAACAACUUCAUCGAAAGACGAAGAAAAUAUAACAUGCUUGACGCAAUAUCUACAAACAAAAAUUGAAGAAAUAACUCUUAGUUCCGACGAGGAAGAUUCAGAACCGAUACCACCAGUUUUGGUGCCAUUUGAACCUGAUUCCCCAUCAGAUACUGAAUCAAGUGCCAGCUCUACAGAUUGUGAUAUGCCAUCGAUAUCGCUACACUCCAACAUCACACCACCUGCUGUCGCAAGCCAAGAAGAAGAAAAAGAAUUAUCCGAAUCAAUUGAAACAAAGGAAGAAAAAUUAAAAAAUCUUCUUGCUUCUGGUAGGUUCAAAUCAAAAGAAAAAUCAACUAAACCAACAAGACCUCGGCCUUUUGUUAGCAGACGAGGGAAAAAAUUUCGCCAAAACGAAUCUACCAACUUCAAAAAGAAAAAGCCGUCAACGCUGAGACAUAAAAUUGAAGAAGAUCAGGAUCUAACAAGUUAUAACAAUUCUGUUAGACUGGCGCACCAAAAAAAUGGAUCUUCCACCACAUCCGGUGUUAACUUUCAGCCUGUUACUACAAUGGGGAAAAAAUUGCAUGAACCAAUUCCAACUUACAAACCAUUGAUUCCACAACCGCGUCCAGUAAAGGCAAAAUCAACCGCCACAUCUCGUAAUGACAAGUUGGCUGCUGAUUUGAUGAAAAGCAAAAACCAAUCCAUUAAAGAAAAGAAAGAAACCCCCAACGCAGCAUGGUCCUCAAAUUAUGUUAUUCCUCGCAAAGCGACGAAAACCAUAGAUUCUGGGUCGAAGGCUGAUUCGUCUAAAGGAAAACAUCCGUCUGAAGACGCCGAACUACUCACAAAUUCUGCAAGUGCAUCAAACGACAUUACUCCUUCCUUCAAGCCAGUGGUUAAUCGAGUAGCUAGAGGUACCGAGAAAGGAACUGAGAAACAACAUACACGACAACCUACAGCCAGUGCUACAGCCAACCGAGCCUUAAAUUCGAUCUUAAAUCUUGGUCGCUCACGUGAUGGUUCUUACGGGAAGAAAAGGGUAAGAUUUAGUGAAAGAGACAAAACUGUUUACAUAGAAAGAAGACCUUACUCAAAAAUAUUUCCAAACAGUCCCUCUGCUUAUAGAUAUGAGAAAGUAGGAGAGCACCAAUUUAAACUUAAGAGCAUAGAUAGAUCCUCUUAGUUUACAAAUAUGCAACGCAAUAAUUAACUGCAGAAAACUCAAUUGGGAUAACUGGCCAAAAGUAGGAGGGGCAACCCAAAAAAAUUCCAUUACCGAGAAACCAUUACUUUUUUAAAAUCCAUUUUCCCAUUAUACCUAAAUAAUAAUAAUUAAAAAAAAAACGCAAUGAACCGUUCUGUUGGUUAAAAAAAAAAAUACUUACCUGCAAUUAUAUGAUUUCUUAUGUGUCGCUCGUAUGUUGUAUUCCGUUGGAUCCGCGAUUCUAUUUGAAAAAUUCCACUUAAAAAGAUAUUAUCAAGAACAGAGAAACAAUGUUGGAUAAAAUGUUAAUCGCAUCAGUGCAUUACAUUAUGUUUCGAACUUAUGAUUAUUGUAUUAGUUAUGCCUUAUUGAAAAUAAACUCUGGAUAUGCUUAAAACAAAAUCCCAUUGCUACUGCUCCCUACUGCUAUUGUGACAUCAAUAUUUUCAUAGCGAACAAAAUCAAGGAUUGAAAUAUGUGAUCACUGAAGGACAGUUUAGCCUUUCCACUAAAAUAACAAUCCAUUUCGAAAUGAAGUAAAAAUUUUCCUGUUCACGGCAGAUAUACGUAUGCAUUGUAUGCAAGGUUAAACGCCUCAUUUCAUAUCUUAUCUCGCUUUUGGUGAAGUGAUUGCGUUAUCUGUGAAGAGUGAAGUAAAUUGCUAAAGCCUGUUAGUGUGUAUAGUAUUCGUGUUACCUGUGAGUACAGAUUUAAAUGGUGGAAAAUAAAAAUCAGUUUCGUAUAUUGAGGUGAAACCAUGAAAUGGUCAUUCUUUCUAUUCUUGCGUUUGUCUGCGUAAUCAAGUUGGCAGGAGGCACACAGGUAUUCUGGGAAUUACCGAAUUGUAACGCAAUCGCUGAAUAUAACGGCCACACAUUAAAAAUAGAGAGGGCAUGCGAACAAGCAUCCUCGUUAUAUACUUUCCUCCUUUACCAAACAGUAGGGUUUAAAACGGAAUGUCAAUGGACCAGCUUUACUAGACAAAGUUUUUCUAUCUGUGAGAGUUUAACAACAUUGCCACAG